CUUAUGGUGGUGGUGGCAGCUACAAAACUGUAGUGCCAGUUGCCUGCUCCGGUGCGGCGGUGCUGGCUGCGGGCGAAGGAGAAAAGGAUUCGUGAUUCUGCACUGGGUCUGGAUUUUUUGGA